rnacentral:rRNA from 1 species
GUCAUCCUCGUCCCCUCGACUGAAAACUGGCCACCUCGUCCCCUCGACUCUUUGGAGCAGGCGAGCAGCCACAGCCCGCUGGUCUCCAACUCUCCACAAAUCUCAGCUCCAGUCCUCUCCUCUCCCACAUGUUCUUCUCCAACUCUCCAUCCAAUCGACGCUGAUCGGUCGCCGGCUCGUCGUCGGCAGAAGACAUCCGUGUCUCCCUUGCAGGAGAUCGGCCAUGUCUAUUAGGUCUUCUUCACUUAGAAGUGACACAGGUAGUGGAGGUAGCGUGGAUGCAGUCCAUCUAUUGGCUGCUGCUCGUGUGAUUCCGGAAGAUGAUAAUGAGAAGAAGCCUUUGUGGAGGUACGUCCAGAUGUUGGAAAAUACUGGGAAAGGGAAAUGAGGCAACAAGAGAUCCAUGCAGUAUUCGUUAAGCAAUUGUGAAGACUUCAAUUUUUUUUAAUAAAACAGUGCAUUUCCUACAAAAAAGACUCGUUAUUUUUUUCAUAUAUUUAAU